GAUGAAGAACGCAGCAAAAUGCGAUAAGUAAUGUGAAUUGCAGAAUUCAGUGAAUCAUCGAAUCUUUGAACGCACAUUGCGCCCGCCAGUACUCUGGCGGGCAUGCCUGUCCGAGCGUCAUUUCAACCCUCAGGGCCCUCCAGCAGGGCGCUGGUGUUGGGGAUCGGCAGUCCCAGCGGCUGCCGUCCCUGAAAUGUAGUGGCGGUCCCACCGUGACCUCCCCUGUGCAGUACAUCGCUCGCAGAGGGACAGCGGUGCGGCCACGCCGUAAAACGCCCAACUCUUCAAGGUUGACCUCGGAUCAGGUAGGACUACCCGCUGAACUUAAGCAUAUCAAUAGCGGAGGA
rnacentral:misc_RNA from 1 species